GAGUGCUAAUAUUUAGAAUUUUUAGAUAUAACAGCUAACGCGUUAAGCACUCCGCCUGAAAAGUAUAAUCGCAAGAUUGAAAUUCAAAGGAAUUGACGGGAGUCUACACAAGCGGUGGAGCAUGUGGUUUAAUUCGAUAAUACGCGCAGAACCUUACCAACUCUUGCCAAUUUUUAUUUAAAAUUUUAUAUAAAAAACAGGCGUUGCAUGGCUGUCGUCAGCUCGGAUUAGAUACCCCGGUAGUCCAUGCUGUAAACGCUGAGUGCUAAUAUUUAGAAUUUUUAGAUAUAACAGCUAACGCGUUAAGCACUCCGCCUGAAAAGUAUAAUCGCAAGAUUGAAAUUCAAAGGAAUUGACGGGAGUCUACACAAGCGGUGGAGCAUGUGGUUUAAUUCGAUAAUACGCGCAGAACCUUACCAACUCUUGCCAAUUUUUAUUUAAAAUUUUAUAUAAAAAACAGGCGUUGCAUGGCUGUCGUCAGCUCGUGUUGUGAAAUGUUUGGUUAAAUCCUUUAACGAGCGCAACCCCUAUUGUUAGUUGCUAAUUUAUUAAAAAUUAAUAAAAGUACUCUAACGAAAAAAUUAAUGAUAGGUUAAUGGAAGGUGGGGAUGACGUCAAGUCUUCAUGGCCCUUAUGAGUUGGGCUACACACGUGCUACAAUGAUAAUCACAGUGAGAGGCAAUAAUAAUAAAAGUUGGAGCAAAUCUUUAAAAAUUAUCUUAGUUCGGAUUAAGGGCUGAAACUCGCCCUUAUGAAGUUGGAAUCGCUAGUAAUCGCAGAACAGCAUGCUGCGGUGAAUAUGUUACUGGACUUUGUACACACCGCCCGUCACAUCAGGGAAGUUGAUUGUUUUUAAAAUGAUUCUUAAUUAUCUAAUAAAAUUAAAUAAUUUUUUAAUUAAAAUAGUUUAUAAUUUAUAUUACAUAAAUUAAAAUCCUUAAAAAGUAAUUAGUAACUUUGAUGAAGUCGUAACAAGGUAGUCGUAGGGGAACCUGUGUCUG
rnacentral:rRNA from 1 species